UGGCGGCAUGCCUUACACAUGCAAGUCGAGCGGCAGCGCGGGGGCAACCCUGGCGGCGAGCGGCGAACGGGUGAGGAAUACAUCGGAACGUACCCCGGAGUGGGGGAUAACGCCGCGAAAGCGGCGCUAAUACCGCAUAUGCUCUGUGGAGGAAAGUGGGGGACCUGUAAGGGCCUCACGCUCUGGGCGCGGCCGAUGUCCGAUUAGCUAGUUGGUGAGGUAAUGGCUCACCAAGGCGACGAUCGGUAGCUGGUCUGAGAGGAUGAUCAGCCACACUGGGACUGAGACACGGCCCAGACUCCUACGGGAGGCAGCAGUGGGGAAUUUUGGACAAUGGGGGCAACCCUGAUCCAGCCAUGCCGCGUGCGGGAAGAAGGCCUUCGGGUUGUAAACCGCUUUUAGUCGGGAAGAAAAGAUCACGGAUAACACCCGUGGUUCUUGACGGUACCGGCGGAAUAAGCACCGGCUAACUACGUGCCAGCAGCCGCGGUAAUACGUAGGGUGCGAGCGUUAAUCGGAAUUACUGGGCGUAAAGCGUGCGUAGGCGGUUCGUUAAGUUCGUCGUGAAAGCCCCGGGCUCAACCUGGGAAUGGCGAUGGAAACUGGCGGGCUGGAGUAUGGCAGAGGGGGGUGGAAUUCCGCGUGUAGCAGUGAAAUGCGUAGAGAUGCGGAGGAACACCGAUGGCGAAGGCAGCCCCCUGGGCCAAUACUGACGCUCAGGCACGAAAGCGUG
rnacentral:rRNA from 1 species